rnacentral:rRNA from 1 species
AGAGUUUGAUCAUGGCUCAGAGCGAACGCUGGCGGCAGGCUUAACACAUGCAAGUCGAGCGGGCGUAGCAAUACGUCAGCGGCAGACGGGUGAGUAACGCGUGGGAACAUACCUUUUGGUUCGGAACAACACAGGGAAACUUGUGCUAAUACCGGAUAAGCCCUUACGGGGAAAGAUUUAUCGCCGAAAGAUUGGCCCGCGUCUGAUUAGCUAGUUGGUGAGGUAAUGGCUCACCAAGGCGACGAUCAGUAGCUGGUCUGAGAGGAUGAUCAGCCACAUUGGGACUGAGACACGGCCCAAACUCCUACGGGAGGCAGCAGUGGGGAAUAUUGGACAAUGGGCGCAAGCCUGAUCCAGCCAUGCCGCGUGAGUGAUGAAGGCCCUAGGGUUGUAAAGCUCUUUUGUGCGGGAAGAUAAUGACGGUACCGCAAGAAUAAGCCCCGGCUAACUUCGUGCCAGCAGCCGCGGUAAUACGAAGGGGGCUAGCGUUGCUCGGAAUCACUGGGCGUAAAGGGUGCGUAGGCGGGUCUUUAAGUCAGGGGUGAAAUCCUGGAGCUCAACUCCAGAACUGCCUUUGAUACUGAGGAUCUUGAGUUCGGGAGAGGUGAGUGGAACUGCGAGUGUAGAGGUGAAAUUCGUAGAUAUUCGCAAGAACACCAGUGGCGAAGGCGGCUCACUGGCCCGAUACUGACGCUGAGGCACGAAAGCGUGGGGAGCAAACAGGAUUAGAUACCCUAGUAGUCC